UACGUAGGGGGCAAGCGUUGUUCGGAAUUACUGGGCGUAAAGCGCGCGUAGGCGGUCUGAAAAGUCAGAUGUGAAAGCCCCGGGCUCAACUUGGGAACUGCAUUUGAUACUGUCAGACUAGAGUACAGAAGAGGUGACUGGAAUUCCCAGUGUAGCGGUGAAAUGCGUAGAUAUUGGGAGGAACACCAGAUGCGAAGGCGGGUCACUGGGCUGAUACUGACGCUGAAGUGCGAAAGCGUGGGGAGCAAACAGG
rnacentral:rRNA from 1 species